GCCAACCCCGGUGCCAUCUUGUCAUGAUCACCCACUGGAGAAGAGAGGAGGUUCUCACAGUAGACGAGGAGCCUGUUUUUCAGCUAGCUGCCGCAAGGGGGCUGGACAUUUCUCCCUUCAAAUAGGACCUGGAAGGCCUGGGAGCAUCUGGAGAAGGGCAUGGCUGUGAGUAGAGAAACAGAGGCUACGGGCUGAAGCAGGAGGAAGCGAGAGAGGAAGACUCAUGGAGAGCCUUGCUGCGCUCUCCAAAAGAGCCGCCCUUUUCACGUGAAGAGCCAUGCGAUCGGAUCCCGGGUUUGGCAGAGUAGACAUGCGAGAAGACUGAACAUUUCGUCGUUAAAACCUCUUAAAGGUGGAAUGUGUGGCAGAAAGGACGUCUGAGAAGCUCACGCGAUUUGCAGAAGGAACAUUUGUAGAAGAUUCCCUGUUUUCCGAAGGAACGUCAAGUUCCAAAGAAGAACAUCCGAGAAGAUUCCGUGUUUGGCAGAAGAAACCUUUGUCAGACGUGAACGUGUGACAGAAGGGCCAUCCAGGAAGAUUGCACACUGGGCAGAAAGAAGACUUAAGAACAUUGCAUGGACAGCAGAAGGAGUGCUUCGGGAGAUUGCCUGGUGGGUGGCAGGAACACCUGAGAUGACGUCAUGGCAGACAGUGGAAAUGAGAGAAAGAUGAUGGAGCUGCUAAACCUUGCCCAUUUUGAUCUGUUAUGUGAGACAUGCCUUUCGCCUUCUGUCAUGAUUGUGAAGUGUCCCCAGCCAUGUGGAACUGAUACAUAUUGCUUGUCUCUGAACUUCUCAGCUGCCUGCAGAUCUUCUUGUUUUUUAGCUGCAGUUAGGGUUUGUCUGAGAAGAAGCAUAACAUCCCUCCAUGCCAAAUGCUCCACAAAUAAAUAUGUUGAAUGAAUGAACAAAUGAAUAAGUGAAGUGAAUGGAACAUCAAACUGCAUAAAAAUAUAUUUAUUCAGAAAUGAGAGGUGAUGAUUGCCAACAUACCAUAAUCAGACUCCGUUCUGACCUUGGUUACUUAUGAGUUUGACAAUGAAGAGGAAAAAGGACCAGGGUCGGCUUUGUUGCCCACCUGGAGUGUAGUGGCACAACCUUGGCUCACUGCAACCUUCUCCUGAAGUACAUAUUACCUCACCUGGGCUCAAGUGAUCCUCCCACCUCAGUCUUUUGAGUAUCUGGGAUUAUAGGCAUGUGCCACCAAGCCUUGCUAAUUUUUGUAUUUUUUGUAGACACAGGAUUUUGCCACAUUGGCCAGGUUUGUCUUGAACUCCUAAGCUCCAGUGAUCCACCCACUUUGGCCUCCCAAAGUGCUAGGAUUACACGUGUCACCAUCGUGCCCAGCCAGCAAGCUCUCUUGUAAUGAUUCAGAGUCUCAGGCCAUAGCAGUACGAGUAUCAAAACAUCUAUUCUCAACUUGGAGUUGAGAUUUCUAAUACGAAUUCUAUUUUCUCCAUAAUCAUAAAAUAGCAUCAGGAAAAGUCUCUUGACAUCUUAAAAUACAUAUCACUGGAAAGUAGAUCUUUUUGUCCUUCAGAUAAACAUAUUGUAAAAUUUGAAAUGAAAAUUAUUCUUUGUACCACCAUUCUGAUUUUACCCAGAGUUAACACAAAAGUUAUAGCAGUACAUGAAGCUCUGAGGCUUCAAUGGGUGUAGAUAUAGACAUCCAAACCUAUAAUUUUACAUUAACCAGAAUACCAUUCAUAUAAAUCACAAAUGGAAAAACCAUUUCUGAAGGUAUUUGGUUUUAUAGAUUAUAAAAUUAAACUUCCUUAUAAUUGUAUCCAAACUAAAAUAUGCUUCCUGUACAAAAAAGCUUUCUUCUAAGAGUAAAGGCCUCCUCCCAACCCACCCGACACAUACACACACACACACACACACACACACACACACACGAAGAGAGAGAGAGAAUUUAGAGCACUGAUCUUUUCUCUCUUAGACUAAUUAUUUUAACAUUAUUUUCAGGCACUUUAUUAAUUGUGGGGUUAAGGGUAGGAUAGAUGUAACGCCCAUUUCACACGUGUUGCAACAUCAGAGAUGAUGGUUUUCAUUAAAAACAUCAGAGCUAAAUUCCUUUUAAAAAAAGACAUUGUUACUGUUAGUACCUUGGGGAAUAUUGUAAUCUUAUGAAUACUGAUACGUUUAUUUGAGCCAAUUGAAUAUUAUCUCUAAUAUAAACUAUAAUUUACUGUGUGAUUCCUCUUCCUGUUUUACCUAUAUAUACUCAAAGUGAAUGAUUGUGUUUAGUGAACAUUUCUUUAGGUAAUAAAAAUUAAUUUCAUUUAAGAAAA
rnacentral:lncRNA from 1 species